rfam:Gossypium raimondii Chr03_contig_1068, whole genome shotgun sequence.
UGUUAAAAUUCCAUCAAUUUCUACUAUUAAAAACUAGCUUAGUUAAUGGAAUAAUCAGGCAGUUACACGUGACGUGCCAUGUAUACCUCAUAGUGAUAUACAGAGACUAGUUUUUAACGGUAGAAAUAAGUGAACUUUUAAACC